rnacentral:lncRNA from 1 species
GGGUCCUUCCAAUGGGGACACUGAGGUCCUAUGGGGAACAUUGGGAUCCCAUUGGGGAUUUUGGGGUCCCGUUGGGCUUUUUGGGGUCCCAUUGGGCAUUUGGGGUCUCCAAUGGACCCUGAGGUCCUAUGGGGUCGGGGUGGUGUCCCAUGGGGUCAUGGUGACAUCGCUGUCCCCUCGUGGUGGCACUUUGGGGUCAUCGGGUCCUUCCAAUGGGGACAUUGAGGUUCUAUGGGGGACAUUGGGAUCCCAUUGGGGAUUUUGGGGUCCCAUUGGGCAUUUGGGGUCUCCAAUGGGCACUGAGGUCCUAUGGGGUGGGGGUGGUGUCCCAUGGGGUCACGGUGACAUCGCUGUCCCCUCAUGGUGGCACUUGGGGGUCAUUGGGUCCUUCCAAUGGGGACACUGAGGUCCUAUGGGGAACAUUGGGGUCCCAUUGGACAUUUUGGGGUCCCAUUGGGCGUUUGGGGUCUCCAAUGGACACUGAGGUCCUAUGGGGUGGGGGUGGUGGCCCGUGGGGUCACGGGUGACCCCGUUGUCCCCUCGUGGUGGCACUUGGGGGUCUUUGGGUCCUUCCAAUGGGGACACUGAGGUCCUAUGGGGAACAUUGGGAUCCCAUUGGGCAUUUUGGGGUCCCGUUGGACAUCGGGGUCCCUCCCAUGGACCCCGAGGUCCCGUGGGGUGGGGGUGGUGGCCCGUGGGGACACGGGUGACCCCGUUGUCCCCUCUUGGGACGCAGGCGGUGUCGGGGAAGUUCACCCCCAUCACGCAGUGGUUGUACUUCGACGCCUUGGAGUGCCUGCCCGAGGAGAACCGCCA